rnacentral:sRNA from 1 species
AAAAAGAGAUUGUUAUUAUUCCUCACAAUAACCAGAUAGCCUCUGCUUUCUUUUUCCUUUCUUCGGAAUGAGAGACUCAACCAUAAUAGAAAGAAUGGAGAACUAUUAACCACCAUUCUUCAGUGGGCUGUGAUUUUCAGAGGGGAAUACUAAGAAAUGGUUUUCCAUACUGGAACCCAAAGGUAAAGACACUCAAGGACAGACAUUUUUGGCAGAGCAUAGAUGAAAAUGGCAAGUUCCCUGGCCUUCCUUCUGCUCAACUUUCAUGUCUCCCUCUUCUUGGUACAGCUGCUCACUCCUUGCUCAGGUAGGGAAUGAUUCCACGAUUCCACAUUUAUGUUUCUGAAGCAGACAAUUAUCUCAAUUACCUAAUUAAGCAGACAAUUACCUAAAUGCCCUCUUAGAACCUUUAACUCAUUCCCAUACCUGGAAGUCCAUCCCAACCUGAAGGACCACCUGUCACAAAGAGACAAAUUAGGAUUGUGUUCCCCUCUAGGUUCUCUGUAUCUCGCCUUCCCUGUCUGAGAAGCACCCUUCCUCUCAUGACCCCAACUCCAAAACCCUCUGAUGGAGCUU